rnacentral:lncRNA from 1 species
AGCUGACAUGUAGAAAGGAUCGAUACUCCUCUUGAUCGGGCCGAAGAUGUAUAAAGGGAGUAUGAAAAGGUGGCAAUGCCUGAUGAGUAGAUUUUGGUGCAUUAUUCUUAUGUUCAGUAGUUGCUGAUGCAGCUGGAUUUGCAAACAGGUUAGGUCCAUGAACAUUGCCCGUAGGGUGAAAUACAGAAUCUUGAAAUGACAUACCCAGGGAAGGAUUUUGAACACAUGUUCUAAGGCUUCCAUCUAGGACAUGCACAGCAACAUGCCGAGGAUAAUUUUGAGCAGCUUGCAUCUCAUCUGCACAAAAAUCACCAUCCAAAUCAUCUUUUCUCUGGCCUUGAGCUGAUUUCUCAUAUGAAGUGCAAGACUUCUCCAAGUUUGAAGCCUUACUUGUACCAUUAUCAUGAAAUGUCUGUUGGACAUUAAGUUUAUAAGGUUCACAAAUUUCUUUAAGUUCAAGAAUAACAUAGAAUUCAUGUUUUUCAUGAUUUACUACCUCUUUUGGCAAAGGUACAAACUCCCUGAAUGUACAAGAGCUUUUGAGUGCAGUUGACAUUGGUAUAAAAUUCUUAUUCAUGGAAGACGCAGAGGAGCAGUUUUGUUCGUGGAGAAGGGUAAAAACCUCAGAGCAACUCUGGUCUUGAUUUUCUUUCAGGUUUGUAGCCUUUUCAUCUCCAGUAGGUCUCUGACAAACACAAUAUAUUUGAAGCUUACGUUAAAAAGGAGAAAAGAAAAAGAACAUAAUUAAGAGCAUGAAUAAAGUAGUUGAGGAGGAGAAAGAAACCUCCGGAAGUGGUUCUUUCUCCAAGUCCAACAUUUGCUUGCAACGCAAAGAAGAUAAUGGCAUUUCAGAUUUUCCAUCCUUAGCUCCCUCUUGUACUGUAGUAGCAGCACCAGUUUUUCGAGGAUAAGGAUUGCUUGGUUUUCUUUUAGGGCGUGGAGGUGGAAUCUCUAUGUCAAGAGCUUGACCUAUUGGUACACCUUUAGCAAGUGCCUCCUUCUCCAACUGAGAAUGGAUUAUUGUCAGUAGCAUCAAUAAAAUGAUAAAACAUAAGAGAAAUCUUACGAGUUUUUGGAGGCACCAAUGAAGCAUCAAUAUAAUAUUAACAAUGUGCAACACUAAAAUUAAUGAUAGGAAUGACAUAACUAAAUGCAACAUGAUCAUAUCUAACCAGUAUAAUUCCAAAUAUUAUCAGGAAACAAGAAGUCCAAGUAUAUAAUUGCUCUACAAUCUACAAAUAUCUCACACAGGAGGUUCAUACAAAAUUUUAUACUCCUGUUGUCAAUUAAUAUGGCCUGUUUUAUAACAUUAGAUUAGAUUAGAUUCUUCUUUUAUCCUUUCAUCCCAUAACAUGUCUGCUCAAGACUCGUCAGCAAUAUAAUACUUGAAUGUAGCAGACAUAAACACAGCCCACAGUUGAACAUAUACAUAGACAAAGAUUGACUAAAUAAAAAAGGGGGGGCUGGUUUAGCCGAGCAGUCAGUUCUGCUCGGCUAAACCAACCCCCCAUUUUACUAGGAGAAGAGAGGAUUAGCUGUAUUUAGAUGAAAAGAAAAUUACCAGUGGUUUCUUAAGAAACACAGUUUAGGUACUGCAUAAAUAAGAUUAAUCAAACCAUCUAUAAUGUUCAUUGUCAUGUAAAAUUGAGAUCAUUAAAGGUUAGGACUUCAGACUGAAGAAAGUAUUUGAUAAAGCUUUAACCAUAAUAUUCUUGAACAAUCUUCAUUUGCUUACUGUCCUGAUAAGAUUUAUCACUCACGAGCUAAUCGAGAUAAAAAUGUUAUGCAUGCAUUUGUUUGCGACAUCAGAAAUAUGAAAAGGAAAAAAAGAAGGAAGUAAUGCAUUACCAUGUACCUAACUUUAACAUAAUUGGCAGGUGACUGCCGAUAACCUGCAGGAAAUAAGUCUUUAAGAGAAGAAUCCAGUAAAAUCUUACUUUUACUGAAGAUGUAUACUUAAGGAGGAUAAUCGCUUAAGACAGACCUAUAGGAUGCAUACCUCAAAUCAAACAUCAUAAUUAGCUACAAGGCACAUCUAACAGACAUGCUGCUGUGAGCUUGGCUGCAAAACUUAAGGUACUAUGGGGAAGAUUGAUCCCAGUAUGAUCACCUAGAAGGUAUAAUAUAGUUUCAAUUAGGACUUAUCUUUCUGAUUAAAAGAAAAAUAUGCAGAUCAGAAUUUUAUGUUCCACAUUACUAGGAAAGGAAAUUAGUUGUAUCAUAAAUGAUAACAUCUAUAUAGAAGGUAUGAUCCUUAAGCAUAAAUGAGUACCCAUCUUGCAUUUCAAGCUCUCCCAAUUCCCAGAAAUGGAAGAACAAAAAUAAAAUUCAUUUUUUAGAUCUAACGAGUAUCUGGCUCACACCAGCAAUAUGGCUAAUGUUUGAAGAGAUUUCUCACCAGUAAUCUAAAGUUCUAAACACAUCAACAAACUCUAUAAUUCAACAAAUUCGUGUCAUCCCUGCUAGUACUAACUACUACUCAUCAUAUCCACUCUAAUGUUAGAUAAGAUCAUUUGGUAUUAUGAGAUCAACAUCUUCAACAGCCCUAAACUAAGUAGAUAUAAGCCCUAAACUUCCACCACAUAAAGGAGAUAAUAAAAAGUAGGCAAUAAAAUGCAAAAAAGAUAUAAGCCCUUGAGAUAUUGUCUUGAAAGGAUGUGAAACUUGCCACUAUAAAAGCUUUUAACAAAAAAAUGAUCCUAAAAUCAAAAGCUAUAAGCUAUCAAAUUUACCCUAACUGCAGAUUCAUUGCCAACCUUGGAUGCUGAUGAAUUGAACUAUUAGCAACCUUGAGAUGCUCUACACAUAAAGGAUACACUAAGCGGUAAUUCUAACUUGCAAUGACUAGCAUACUGGCCAUGGAUGCUAAAGAUUUCAGUUUAAACCAGAACCAAAAUCUAUGCAUAUAAUAUAGCAACAAAGAACAUGAUAGGUGGGCUCACCCCAAAUUCACUUCCUAGUUCUAUACCUCAUAAUGAUGUAUUUUCACUCUGUAUACAAACUCACUUCUUAGUUCUUACUAUACCUCAUAAUGGUGUGUUUUCACUCUCUAUACAAAUUUAGACUACAUGUAUCUACAUGACCCUUUUAUCCAAAGAAACCAAAUAUUUUAACUUUCAAAACCUCUGCUGUGGUAGGUUAAGUACAAAAUUGCUUCAGCAAGUUCCCAGACAAGAGGAUGCCUUGCACAUAAAAGGUUAGUGAAGGGCACAUUAGAAAAAAACCUUUUAUGACAACUUAAAAAACCAAAAAUGCCCUUUUUUAUUUCGGACUCCAAGGGUGAUAAACCAUCUUGCGCAGCCAAUUUCGUACAGAGACCAAAUAAAGAGAAUUCAAAUAGCUUACAUCCCCAAAAUCAAAUUCGUAGGGAAGAUAAAAGGCUAUCACCCUAAAUACGGUUUAAAUAUUUAGCAGCUCAGAUUCUUAUUUAACUCAAGUUGCUGCCUUUUCUAUAUAUAUUAAUAAACAAACUCCAGUGUACUUCUUUACAUAGUUGGUUAUAAUUUUGAUCGGUCAUAUAUGAUUGAUGUUUUUGACACAGAAAGCUAUACAUUCGCUUCGUAUAUUUUCUUUGUUGUUUUAAAUCUAACAAAUUUGUUUAUACAAGUGAGAAAAUGAAGUAAUAGAAUAAUCAGUAAGAUUUCCCAACCGUUCAAGAUAGUACAGUUGACGAUUCGAUAUUUCAUAUAUCUCAAGCAGAAACAAGAAUUAAGCAGCAGAAAAAAAUUACAUUGAACAUAGGCAUAAGCAUAAACAAGAAGGCACCAAAUGACCUUUGAAAAGAACUUUUGAGCAUGACUCCUGAUCUGCACAGCUGUCUUUGUUCCUAUAUAUUCUGCAAAUCACCAUGUAAAAACAAAAUGGAAAGAAAAAUACAACAAUAAAUAACAAAACUAUUCAGUUGUUGGUCCUAACAAACAUAUCCUACGAAUCUUAGCCUCAAUCCACAAAAACACUAGCUCUAAAAUGAUAGCAGCAAAAUCUAAACUAAGAGGGAAAAAGCAAGUGAAAAAACCUUCAAUGCGUUGCCAAGCUCGUCCAUAGAGCUUCAAGGCCUCUAGAAACCUAUUAUGCUCUUCCUCGCUCCAUCUUUCACGUUGUUUCGUAAUAGUAUAAGGCUUCCUAGUCUAUCAUUUAACAUACAAAAUUCAAUGGUCCAAAUUAUAACAAACACAAACCCCCAUUUUUUUACAAAGCUUCAUUUAAGAGAAGAGUUUACCUUAAUAACUAGUUCUUCACCAGAGGAGUAUGUGUCCAUUGAAACAGCGUCACCGCUGCUUCAAAUCCUCUCUAACAAGCAAAGAGUAUAUCACAAACCUCCUUUCAUUUCUUCCAACAUCCAAUACGACAAAUAGUAAUGCCGUUUUUGAGCUCCACAAAACCUGAUGAAUGCUAUUUAAUACUGCAAAAAGAAAAAACACAAAAGAACAACAACAACAAAUCGAUGGAGAUCCGUCUCUGUUUGUAUUUUUAUUCCAAUUAAAUUAAUAUUAAUUUCUCAUCAUUUAAUAAAAAUAUUUACUUAAUAAAAAUUUGGGGUGAAUGCUAAAUCUCUGGAAAAAUUAAAAUAAAAUAAAUAAAAAUUAAGUAUCCACCGUAACAAAGAGAAGAGACGGCUUCUUCCAAAGAACUUAAAAGAAAAUUCUCACCAAAACGAACCCGUAGACGCCAAAACCUUUAAUAGAAAAUGAUACGAAAAAAAAAAAGAAACUUUAAUUAGUAAUCAACAACACACUUCCACUGUUCCACAUCCAAUCUAUCUAUUGACAGCCAAUAAUAAUUCUUCACCUUCUGUUUGGUCGCCGAGAAAAAAAACAAAAGGAUUCAAAUUCAAUCACUUUUCUUUCGUUACUCUACUCAGCUGCAUAUAAAGAACACAACUUCCAAACUCAGCUUAGCAAAGCCUUUAAGGAAGGCCCUAGAAAUGAAGUGUAAAUACCUUAAAGAGAUAACCAUGGAAGAUGACAACAAUGGAAGCAACGAUCACGUAUCAAAAAUGGGUUCACCGGAAACCAGCCGGAGAGCUCAUAGUUUCCGGCAAUGACAAGAUCGGAAUCAACAGAAUUGGAAAAAUUAAAAGUAGUCUUUUUUGGGAGAAAAGAACUUGAAUAAACCCAAAAAAAAAAAGUGAAAGCAAGCUUAUUUUCUGGUGAUAAACUGAAAAAACACCAGAAACUACAGUAUGGGGAAGAAACAAAAGGAGAAAUCUCAGCCACUACAAUUUCAUGAGGAUUUUUUUUUUGGAAAAUUACAAAAAUUGGGCAGAAAAUUAUGUGAGGCUAUAAAAGAAUGAACGGUAAGAUACAUUAGAUGUUGCCAAGUGGCAAUAAUUUAGUGGCUGAUUCAACUAAAAGCCCACCGUUGCACUUUUUCCCUUAUUUUUUUGAUCUUUUUUUCUUUUUGCCCUUCUUGUUUCCUACCUUCAUCUUCAAAUAUCAGCCACAAGCUCCCAAUGGUCUUGGUGUUAAAUUAGUAAAAGCGCCAUUUGGUAUACCACAUGGUUCCUGCCGUCAACGUUUACGCAAUUCGUUGGCGUGGGCAACCGGUACGUGUCGGUUACAGGGGUAGCUUUGGUGUUAAAAGCACCGGAUUUGUGACCAUUAGCCACCGUAUGAGGUGAUGAGAUUUUAGGGUUGCAACAAAUCUAGGGAUAUGCUAUGCUCCCUUCCAUAAGUACUUGUAUUUUUUAUAGAUUUGAAAUUUAGUUCCUGUACUUUUAUUUUUAGGAAUUUAGUCAUUUUACUUUUCAAAUUUUUAAAUUCAGGUUUUACUGUUAACAUUGUUAAAAUUAUUUGUUAAAUUCAAGUUCAUUAUAAUAUUAUUUUUUUAGUUAAGUUGCUACCAAGUGAAUUUUUUUUUAUUUCAAUAUGUAAUAUAAGCCAAUUUAACGAAAAAAAUUAUAACAAUGUUAACAAUUGAACCUAAAUUUUGAAAUAUAGAAAGUAAAGAGACUAAAUUUUAAAUUUACAAAGAGUACAGGGACAUGACAUAUUUUAACCUUUUUUAUUAAACUUGUGAGUUACAACUUAAUUCCUAAAUUUGAAUUUCAUUAGAGUAUAUUAGCGUGUCGCUCUAAUAUUAGGUCACAUUGUCAUUUGAAAAUUUUAAAAAUUUUAUAUGAUAUCUAAAGAAUGCAAAAGGAAAAAAUUAAAGAAAUUCAUGUGGCGAUGGGAGAUAAUCUUAUAAUGUCACAUUAUUAUACUUUAACAAGAUCUAAGAUAAGAAACCAAAUUGAGAAAAACUAUCAAGCUUAAAGACUAAUGUGGAUAAAAAAAAAGUUGAAGGAUCAAGAUGAAAAUUUUAUCAAAUUUAAGAUCUAAAUGUUGCUUUAUGAUUAUUUUUUUUUAUCUUUUUAAGAUAAGAGUAAACUCCAUCAAUAUUCUCUAAACUUCAUUUAAAAAAAUGAUGUAUCAUGUUUUGCCAUUAAUAAUAAUCAGACUAAGCUCAUUUUAAAACAACGCCCCUAUUUAUUGUAAUGAUAUAGCAUUAUUCUUAUUCAAGUGCCUUGAUGUCCUCCGCUAAUGGUUGGAGCCUCCAAUCGAUGGACCUUACAUCCUGCUCAAAACUCUUGCAUAAAGCUUUCAUGUUAGGUGCAAAGAUACCAAUAGUGAAUCCAAACCUCUUUGCCUCAAUCAUUGCUUCUCUUAUUACGAAUAAAAUAGCUUGCUUAGUGGUAACCUCAUGUAAUGUGCUACAAAAACUUGUAAAUUUUAUUCAUUGAAUAUUAAAGAUUGUUAGAGACACUCCGAGGAAGAUAGUCCCUUUCUUCCAAGCUACCAAAGCAAUUCCCGAUAUAGUACCAUGAGGAACAUUCGAUCUAAUUGAUUUGCUCUGUUGUAUUCGAAAAUACCUCUCCGUAGCAUUCUUCCAUUUCUUGUCCUCAAACACCUAUAUUUCAUAGUCCUUGAAGAUUUCAAACCCUGUUGAUUACACUUAAGGAUUAACAUCAUAUCCUUUAAAAUAAUAUUCAUUUAUAUGAAUCCGUAUAUUCUAUAAGAUGCAAAUAAUCACUUAAUGCGUAUCAUCUAUUAAUAAAAGAGAAAAAUUGAUGUUGAUUGUAACACCCCUAACCCGUAUCCGCUGCCAGAACAGGGUUUCAGAGCAUUACUACCAUUUACAGAUCACUAAAAAAAAUUUAAAUACUUACCGAUUCAAUGCAUCAUAUAAAUAAAUAUAUUACCAUUCAAUCAACAGUUUGACACUUGUAUAAGCAUCAAACAACAACAUUGUUAGUAUACUUGCACAUAUCUCAUAUAAAGUCAACAUUGAUAUAUCUAUUUUCUCGACAUAUCGCACUUGAGUUUAAUAAUAGUCUCAACUUACAUAAUUUCCUUGUAUCAACAUAUCAAAGAUAAUCAUAUAUGUACAUGUCAUGAAACAUAUCAUGCUCUUACCGUUUCUUCAUAAGCAUAUAUCAUUCAUUUCAUUAUAUCAAUAUUUCAUACUCCAUCAUUUCCAUAUAUUUUAUGUAUAUUUAUUCCGGUAAUAGCUUAUAUCAAACUUAACAUAAAUUAUAUUCCAUGUACUUAUACUUAUUUCGUUUAUCUAUCUUCAUAAUUAUUUCAUAUAACCAUUCGUCAUCUGAUACAUAUUACCUGAAUAUCAAUUGUUCAACAGAUGUUAGAGCGUCUCCCAUCCACGGUCUUAUUUAUCUUUGACAUGAUGCCAUAGUGUCUUUCAACUAUGGUCUUACUCAUUUUCUGUCAUGUUGCCAUGGUAUCUUUCAACCAUGGUCUUGUUCAUUUCAUAUCACGUUGCCAUGGUAUCUUUCAACCAUGGCCUUACACAUUUCAUAUCUGGUUGCCAUGGUAUCUUUCAACCAUGGCCUUACACAUUUCAUAUCAGGCUGCCAUGGUAUCUUUCAACCAUGGCCUUACACAUUUCAUAUCAGGUUGCCAUGGUAUCUUUCAACCAUGGUCUUACACAUUUCAUAUCAGGCUGCCAUGGUAUCUUUCAACCAUGGUUUUACACAUUUCAUAUCAGAGAGCACACUCCCGCGAACCUCAUCCUUACAGUGGGAUUACCAGUCCAGGCUAAAUCCCUUGUAAUAUAAACUCAUAGAGUAUUGUCGGGAUUACCAGUCCAGGCUAAAUCCCCUGCAACGACAAUUACUCUAAUGAGCUUGGAUCUGAAUUACCAGUCCAGGCUAAAUUCAGACCCUAAUUCGGAUUACCCGUCCGGGCUAAAUCCAUUUUACACGUAUUCUUCGGGAGGGCUAUAUCAAGAUAGGAUCACCCGUCUGGGCUAGAUCCUUUUUACCGUCAAUUCCUUUUCAGAGAUCCAUCGAAUUUUCCUUUCAUUCAACCGAGAUUUCUUCCCAUUUUAUCAAAUAUAUCAAUGUUUCAUAAAUUUUCAUACAAUGAACAUUCAAAUCAUAUUCACAUCAAUAACAUACAAUCUCAAGUAUUUAAGAAUAUAAUUCAAGUUACACGAACUUACCUCAUUGCUUGUUUGUGUUUAUAAUUUCAUUAAUCCGAUAUCUUUUCUUUUCCACAAUCAAGUCUCAUAUUUGAGUCGUCCGGAUCUUUAUAAAUAAAUUUGAUCAUCAUUUUCAUUCAUUUCAUCUUCUAAUGCAUUUAAUUAAUGCUCUAGGCAAGAUUACCAUUUUGCCCCUAAACUUUUAAUUAAUGACAAUUUCGUCCUUAGGGUCAAGAAAAUAAAAUUCUUGCAAUUUAAUCCUUAUUUCCAGCUAUUAUUCUCAUAUAUAUUGAUAACAGUCCAUGGAUUCUAUAAAAUAUCAUAAUUUUCCAUAAUUUCAACACUUUUCAAUUUAAUCCCUAAAACAUGUUUUCCCCCGAUCUUGAACUAAAUUAAUAAUUUCAUUCAAUUUUGUAAUUUAAAUAAUAAAAUAAUCCAUUUCAUGCAAUUUGGUUAUUUUUGACAUUUUUACAAAAUUACCCAUAAAGUUUUACUUUUAUUCAAUUUAGUCCCUAAGCCUAAAAUAUGCAAAUUAACCAUGCUUAAUGAAUAUUCAUAUAUUUUUUCCUCCUCCUCCUCUCCAUUCCACAUACUUGAUGUAUGUAGCACACUUGUAAGUAACAUUAUCUAAAUCUUUAUUAUUUACUUUUAUGAAUAUUCAAGCUGUCCAUCUGUGUCAUAGUCACUAAAUUAUUUAUAUCUGGAUCUAUAGGACUCCAAAUUAAUAUCCGCUAAUUUUCCCUGAAACUAGACUCAUAUAUCUUCUUACCAUAAAAUUUUCAGAAUUUUUGGUUUAGUCAAUAAGUACAGUUUAUUCUUUAAAUUUACCCCUAUUCUGCUGUCUGACAGUUGUGACCCUUCUUCACUAAAAAUUAAUUAUCUCCUUGUACAGAAUUCGAAUGAUGUUCAUAUUUGUUUCUAUUGAAAAUAGACUCAUUCAGGAUUAUAAACAUAUAAAUUUAAUCCCCUAAUUAUUUUUAUCCAAUUUUUUUAUGAUUUUACAAAUUCAGAAUAGGGGAACCCGAAAUCAUUCUGACCUUGUCUCACAAAAUUCAUCAUAUUUCAUGAUUUAGAAUUCCAUUGCUUACAUAAUUUCUUCUAUAAGAAACUAGACUUAAUAAGAUUUAAUUUAAUAUUUUAUUCAUCCUAUAAUUAGAUUUCUACAAUUUUUGAUGAUUUUUCAAAGUUAGACUACUGCUGCUGUCCAAAACUGUUUUAGUACAAGAUAUUAAUUACCAUGUUAUAACAUCCUUAUUUUCUUUUUCUACACCAUUGCUCAUCACUUUCUCUUAUUUUUUCUUCACUAACAUAUCAAGAACAUAGGACCUUAUGUAAGAAAACUCUACUAUAACAUUAUUUCCAUGCUUUAUCAAUAAUAACAAACUUAAAAACAUAUUGAAAUCUUGAUGUACUUACCUUUUCUUAUUGACUUCAAUCUUUAACUUGAUUUUUCUCUCUCCUCCAGCUUCGAUUUCUUGAAUCCAACUUGAUAUUCUUGCUCCCCAUCAUCUCCUUGCUAUCUUUCUCUCUUGAUGGCUAUGGAAAUUCUUUCAAUUUUUAGGUGAAAAUAAUGAAUUUUUGGUGGAAGGACUAAAUUGUAAAGAAAGCAAACUUCUUUUCUUCUUCUUAUCUUGCGUUAGUUUGCAUGGGAAAGGAAAUGUGUUGAUAAUUCUUCAUCUUUCCUUCCUUUUAUACUAAAUAAAUAAUAAUAUAAUAAUAAUAAACAUCUCAUAAAAUAUUAAUAAAAUAAUAUUUAUCUAAUUAAUUAAUUUAAAAUAUCAUCAACAUAAUCAUUACAUUCUAGAAUUCUCUCUCUUAAUUAAUUGACCAUUUUGCCCUUCAUGAUCUUUUAGAAUUCCAUCCUUGAGUCAUCACUUAAUUUGGUAAAAUUACGAUUUAGUCCCUCAUAAUUUUUUUACCUAUUCAAUUUGGUCCUAAUUCAUCAAUUUUUCUUGGUUUCUAGAUCAUUCCACCCUUAAAAUAUUUGCACCAUUAGUCCUUCAAUUUUUUAUAUUUACACUUCAACCCCUUAAAUUUUGAGUAUUUACUCUUGUGCAACAAGACUUUUCUCAUCUUUGCAAUUUAGUCCUUUCUUGAAUUAAUAUAUCAUAAUAUACUUCUCAAUAUUGACAUCACUCAAAAACUCCCUUUUGGUCACUUUAUUUCCUUAUUUUACUAUAUCACGGAUAAUAUUUUACUGUAAAAAUUUUCGGGGUAUUAUAUUGAUGCAUUUCCUCCUUAAUAUAACAUGCAAGAUAAAACUCUGAAUAUCACAAUUAUUAACUUCAGUCGGCUUAAAACCUAAAAUCAAUUCCAACCAAACUACUCUAACUAAGAAGAGAUGAUCAUAGGAUUCCAUAUAUUAGCCACAAAAGCUACAAGUUGUAUCAAAACAAUUAAUUCUUCUACCUAUUUCCUCUUUUAAAGGCAAAACUUUGACACAUAUUUUUUAUAGAAAUAGUAAUUCAAAAGAUUAAUAAUUAAUUUGAACUAUCAUUUUAAUAUUUUUAAAAUUUUUUUAAUUAUUUUAAAAAUUACUUAAAAAUUAUUAAAAUUUUAACCUAAUCCUUUAAACCGGAGCUUUUGGGUUUUACUUUUUUUUUUUUAAAACUUAAUCCUUUGAUGUUUUUCUUAUUCUUUUUAAAUCACACCAAACUGUUAUUUUAGCGUAUACCAAUGAUUAAAGUAUACAAAUUCUCAAAAUUAGAACAGUUAUUUUUAUAAUAAAAUUAUUAAAAUAUAAAAAUAACUCAAUAUUGAAUCAGUUAUUUUUCAAUUUAACAGAUAUUAUUAUGGAAAAAAAAGCUGGGUUUUAAUUAAGAGAACCCAAAACCCCAAUCUUUAAAUUCUACUGAUUUAAUCAAAUUAGCAAAAGUUAAAAAAAAAAAAAAACGACAGUUAGACUACAAGGGAAAAACCAAAAGAGAAAAAAAUUUAUUUUCGUUCUUUUAAUGAUUUUUAUAAUUUUUAAUUAUUUUUAAGAUUUAAAAAAUUGAAAAUAUCAAAAUGAUAUUUUUAACUAUAAUUUAAUAAACAAAUUAAUUAUUAAUCCUUUAAAUUAAGUAUCAUGUUGUUCCCUAACAGAAAUUAACGGACGAAUAAUUAAAAUAUAAUAUUUAAAUAAUAUUAAUAAUCAUUUCGUAUCUUUUAAAAAUUCAAUCAUUCAAUUAAAUAAAAUUAAAUAUUCAAUCGUUACACAAAUUACUAGAGCCAUUGAAAUAAACCAAAAACGGUUCUUAAUUUGUCUACAAAGUCAACACUCUAUCCUAUACACUCACAUGAAUAAAAUUUCAAUUCGGUCAGCCCCUUAAUUAUUAGAUUUAUUCAUGUUAUGCUAAUUAUUCAUUAUCAUCCAAUUCAUACAUUAAUUUGCCUUAAUUAUCCUAAAUUAACAUAGUUAACAAUUAAUCAAGAGGGAAAACAGUUCAUUUGAGUACUCACUAUUUAAUAAUUUCCAGCCAAUAAUGAAAUCAAGUCCUUGAUAUAAUUACACUCAAAUCCCUCUAAACUUCUAUUACUUUUUAAAGUAGUCCCCACCAAUUCACAUUUGUAUCCCUCCACUUUAAGCAUUUAUGUACUAGAUAAUCCCCACUUCAGUUUUCCUACUAUUUUCUCUUAAAUUACACCAUCUCAAUUUACUUAUUUCAUCAUAAAUAUUUAAGUUCACUGUUUAUCUCGAAAUUUACUAUCCGGAUGAUACCAUUUCGUGGUCUAAAUUUUGAAUAGUUUAAAUAUUAUAAAUUUUAAAAAAAAUCUCAAUAAAUUUUGAUAUUGAAUAAAUUGUUCUUCUAAAAAAAUCAAAUCAAUUUAAUCCCUGACAAGUUUAAAAUAAACACUUAAGACAAUUAAUCACACUGUAAUUAUUUUUCAUGAUAUAUAUAUUAUUAAUACAAUUACAAAUUUAACCCACAACAUUUAUAUAUUCUAUCAAUCCAAUUUAGAUGUAAUUAAUUUAAUCCACAAAUUUUUCUCAUUGUCAACAUUUAUGUAGAAUAUAUAAACAUUAAAAAUUAAAUUUAUUAUUAUACUAAUAAAAAUUAUAUAUAUAAUUGACGGAAAAACAUCACUAUUAUAACCAAUUAUCAUUAGUUGCUAUUUUUUAAAUCUACAAACAUCAAUUACUCCAAUUUUGAGAAAAAUUUAAAACCGACUAGAGUAACCAAAAACAAACUUUACUACCGGACAUCCAGAGAAAAUAUCCAUAGUAGAUGUAGAUCAACUAUAUGCUACGGAAUUAAUUUCAAAAAAGUUCUAUGCUGGAGAGAUGUCGGUACCAUUUGUAUCUUCGUCUUCAAAAUCUUGAAAAAUAUGUUAUUAUUGUUUUGGGAAAUAUGUUUUCCUGAACUAAAGUAAAUUGGAAAAUAUUUAGUGCAUUGGUAAUUUUUAAAUAUUAUUUUUGGAAUAAAAAAUUAUAUUCUCAAUGUAUUAUAUACUAAUUCAAAUAAAUUUUAGUUAAAAAUGAUGAUAAACUAAUUUUUAAUAAAAGUAAUAUUAAGUACUAAACAAUUAAAUACAUCAAAAGUAACAUGUUUAUUGUAUAUAAAAGUGAAUAAAAUAUAUACAAAACAUAAAUAAUAUGAAAAUAUAUUAUUUAAUUUUAAUAUUGACAACACUACUUAUCAGAUAUAUGUAUACAUUUGCAAAGCUUCCGAAAACAAAAAACCACAAUACAAAAACAAUGAGUCAAUUGGUAACUAAACACUAAAGCAAACAGACAAGGCUUGGAAGGAAAAAAAAGAGUAGAUAUACUUUUUGGUUCUCUUAUGACUUUAUUAUUUAGAUUGGUACUUAAUAAAAGAGUCGACUUCUUGGGGCAGCCAACUCAAACUCUCAACAAUUGAAAAUAUUGUAUUGACAUUAAGGUUUUGUCUAGCUUCCAUAGAAAGUCAUGUACAGUUCACAAGAAAAGUACUUUAAUUAAUGGAAAUAGAUAUCUACAAAACUCGGAAAAAAUAUCAAUAUAAAGUGUGCAAAUAAUAAUGAAAAUACUUAGGUACCCCACAACUUAAGACACCAAGGUACCUCCAUUAUUAUUCACCCACCUAUACUCUCACUUCUCCCGAGUCUUGCAGGUGACUAUUUCCACCAACUGAGGUACCCCUUGAUAAAUCGUACAUGACUCUCCAUAAAAGUUAAGGACAAAACCUCGACACAAGGAUAAAACCUUCAAUUAUAGAGACCGAAUCAACUACCCGACAAACGACAUUCCAAGUAGGAGCCAAUCCCCCCUCAAUAGUACCUAAUUUCUUUAUAUAUUUUUUUCAGACUAAAAUUUGAUUUCCACCACACAUGUUAGCCCAUUUUUGAACCUUCGUUAAUCUUGAUUUAACCACAUGGGACACAUCAUGUCAUCAACUAUGUACCUACCAUGUGUAGUAAAUUUAUUGGACCACAUAAUCCAAUUUUAAAAGAGUUACAAAAAAUUGACUAAAACCUGUAAGAAAAGCCAAAUUCGAGUACCAAUCUGAACAAAAAAUAUAUAUGUACCAAUUUAUACAUCAAAACCAAACGUACCAAAAAAUAUAUCUACCUAGAAAAAACUAAGCAUAAAAACAGUUGAACUAUGAACUCAGUGGGGCAAUCUGUUUAAAUUGCCUUUUCAUGCAUAAUAAAGGUUUCAGCUUCAGCUAGAGUUCACUAAGCAAAAGGUAUAAGAAUAAUGAUAAAGACAAAGGCAUUCAGAUUCAAUACUUCCUUUAAAUGCUUCUAUCUCAGAGGGAGUUUUUUAACUGCAGUAGCAAGCAUAAAAAAGUCCAGGAAAGCGAAUAAGUCAAUGUAGAUAUUAGAUAGUACACAACACCACCUACACGAAAAGUCUCGUGAGCUGCAAUCGAAUAAAAGUCUUUUAAGAUCAACAUAUGAAAAGGAAAUAAGAUAUGGGGGAAGAACAUUAGAGAUUGCAUUCAACAAACAAACUUUGCCUUUGUUAAUUGUAUGCAAUUGUGUAAAAGUCAAGUUGACGGUUCCCCUUCCAAGCGUACCCUCUUGGGACAUUUCUCUUCACCUUGACUGCCAGUGUUCAUCACUCUGUUUUCUUUGGCUUCCACAGAACACCUUUUGUAAGGUUUAAAUCCAGUUCGGCCAGCUUUUAGUUUUGAAUGUCCUAAUCCAAUAGUCAGCAGGCCCUCUUCUGUACUGUUCUUGUCUCUUGAUAAUGCAUUUUUCACAGUUUCUUGAUGAUCAGAACAAGAACCCCAUGUAUUGCUGUUGAGAUCUAAAGUUGAUAUUUCUUCGUCUUCCUCAGCUGGAUUUUGCUUGUCUUCACCUAUAUUUUCCUUUUGCUGCCCCUUGCUCUUGCCGUCAUGUGGAGGAGAAAAGCUUUGUGGGAGUACCUCCCGGGAGAAGAGGGCUUGAAAAGCUAGCCGCCCCUGAAUAAGUAGUGGAGCCAUACAGUGGCAAUUGUACAAAACAAUUAGAAUAAUAAUUAAAGUUGGGCUAUAUGGGAAAAUUGACAUAUCGACUCACCUCUUCAGAUACCUCCUUCCAAGAAUCACUCAGGUUGCUAUUGCUUCUACUACUACGACGGUAACAUUCAACUUGUGGAUGAUUGGGGUCAGCUCCUUUUGAAUCUUCCUUGUCUUUUUCAUGUUUUUCUAACGCAUCUGUCUCUACCUCACUGCUUGAAGGAGUGUUGGAGCCACAUGAGGACCGGUCAACUUGUUUUUUGUUCUUUGUUUUAUUUGCAUCCUGAGGCUCAAUUACUUCAGCAGCCGUCUCAUCAUCGGUAGCUUUCACUCCAGUAUUCACUUUUGCAUCUCCUCUCUCUUCACAGUCCGACGAUGAUGAAGUAGGUGAUUUAGAUGAUGAAUGCUGACCUUGCAAAGCUUCAGAGUUCUCAGGGUCUAGUUGCUCAACCUGCAGAGAUAGAGCUUGAUCAGUUUUACCCUUUUGUUCUGUCUUGGCAGCUGGAGGUUGACCAUUCUCCAUUGGUGGAACUGCAGCAGUGGAUGCAGGAAAACAGGUAAAGCCUGUAUGCAGAGGAGCACAUACAGGAAACAGUCCAUGGGCGGCCCACCAUGCAGUGGCAGCUGCUACAGUUGCAGCAGCGAUUGCAGCCAUUCUUGGAGCAGAGUUCAUUUGUCUAGAUGGGAAACCUCCUAAGCCGCCUGCAGGAGAAUCGCCAGAGCUUUCAAUAUUCGCAUAAGGCCAAAAUCUUGCUGCAAAGCUUGCUGCAGCAUGGGCAGCUGGAUUCUGUAACAAAGUAGAUACAAUGAGACUGGAAAAAGUGGAGGAGACAUGUAGAAAUGAUCGAUAGUCCUCUUGAUUUGGGCGAAGAUGCAUAAAGGGAGUAUGAAAAGGUGGCAGUGCCUGCUGAGUUGAUCUCGGAGCAUUAUUCUGAUGUUCAGUAGUUGCAGAUGCAGCUAGAUUUGCGGACAGGUUAGGUCCAUGAACAUCACCCAUAGGGCAAAAUACAGAAUCCUGAAAUGACAUAUCCAGGGAAGGAUUUUGAGCACAUGUUCUCAGGCUUCCAUCUAGGACAUGCACAGAAACAUGUCUAGGAUAAUUUUGAGCGGCUUGCAUUUCAUCUGCACAUAAAGCACCAUCCAAAUCAUCUUUUCUUUGGCCUUGAGCUG